AAGACUAUACUUCACAGGAUCAUUUCUGUAAUCAGUCUUCAUUUAAUUUCUUUGCAAAUCGAAAGUAUUAGCAUAUGAUAUGUAUAUAAGGAGGCAUAUACUUUUAUCUGACAGCGUGAGGUUUAUGAACUUCAUUUCUAAUUUUGUCUUGUGGCAUAUUGGAAAUGAUGUUUAUUCGAUGAUCGCUCGGUUACAACGGACGACUUCUGAGUGGU